UUCCGGUUGAUCCUGCCGGACCUGACUGCUAUCGGAUUGAUACUAAGCCAUGCGAGUCUUUGCAGUAAUGCAAGGCAUACGGCUCAGUAACACGUAGUCAACUUACCCUAUGGACGAGGAUAAUCUCGGGAAACUGAGCAUAAUACUCGAUAGAUCAUAAUGCCUGGAAUGGUUUAUGGUUGAAAUGAUUCGUCGCCAUAGGAUGGGACUGCGGCCUAUCAGCUUGUUGGUGAGGUAAUGGCCCACCAAGGCGAUUACAGGUACGGGCUCUGAGAGGAGAAGCCCGGAGAUGGGUACUGAGACAAGGACCCAGGCCCUAUGGGGCGCAGCAGGCGAGAAAACUUUGCAAUGUGCGAAAGCACGACAAGGUUAAUCCGAGUGAUUUCUGCUAAAGAAAUCUUUUGCAAGUCAUAAAACCACUAGUGAAUAAGGGGUGGGCAAGUUCUGGUGUCAGCCGCCGCGGUAAAACCAGCACCUCAAGUGGUCAGGAGGAUUAUUGGGCCUAAAGCAUCCGUAGCCGGCUCUGUAAGUUUUCGGUUAAAUCCAUGUGCUUAACGCAUGGGCUGCCGAAAAUACUGCAUAGCUAGGGAGUGGGAGAGGUAGACGGUACUCGGUAGGAAGGGGUAAAAUCCUUUGAUCUAUCGAUGACCACCUGUGGCGAAGGCGGUCUACCAGAACACGUUCGACGGUGAGGGAUGAAAGCUGGGGGAGCAAACCGGAUUAGAUACCCGGGUAGUCCCAGCUGUAAACGAUGCAGACUCGAUGAUGCAUUGGCAUAUAGCCAGUGCAGUGUCGCAGGGAAGCCGUUAAGUCUGCCGCCUGGGAAGUACGUACGCAAGUAUGAAACUUAAAGGAAUUGGCGGGGGAGCACCACAAGGGGUGAAGCCUGCGGUUCAAUUGGAUUCAACGCCGGG
rnacentral:rRNA from 1 species